GUUCCUUUCCUGUAAUGAUUAAACAGCCCCAAGGGCCAUUAGCUGCUGAGAAAGCUCUGAGCCCCACCGGCAUGGAAAGUCCUGGUCCCCUUUUCUCCUAGCUGCCACCCCAUCCUCUGCAGGACUCUCUCGCUUUCCCUGCCCCCAGUACACACACACACACACACACACACACACACACACGUGCACACAGUCAUGCACACCGUGUAUACUCCCACCCCUGAGAGGAGCAGGAGGAGGAAAGGAGAGUUGUAGAUUCAGCAGCUGGGAGGGACUUCAGAAGUUGAGAUAUUUAAGCUCUGGCUUAUGUGGAGGGGAAACUGAGGCCCAGGGAGGGAAGGGUCAUACGGGCAAGAAAGGUGGAGCUGGGCCUGGAGUCCAGGUUUCUUAGGAGUGAGUUCAAUGCAAUUUUCCUUGCUCCCGGUGGGAGGGGGACAAAGGAGGAGAAGGGGAAGGGGUCUGCUGCUAGCUGGGCAAAGCCUCCAUCGUCAAGUGCUCCCACCUCCAAUCCCCGACCCCCAGGUGUCAUUUUGCCUUUUUUUUUUUUUUUUUACAGUAUAGGAAACUGAGUCCUGAGAAGAGACAUGUUUAUUCCAAGCCACAAAGUGGGGCCGGGAUUCACACUCUUGCGCUGUGCUGUGACAGAUGAGUGAUCCUGGGAAGGACACGGAGCACUCCGGAUCCAGGGAAGACCAGCUGCCCCAGGGCCCAGGCAGACUGCUAGUCCCAGCAGCCCAGCCCACUGAGCUGCAGAGUGACCAUGGACAGGUCACUAAGUGACUCCGGACCUGGGGUCUCGUCAGCGUGGCCUAUACCCUGCCCACCUCGCAGGGCCAGUGAGUGCCGGUCCUCUAUCCUCCCUUCCGGAAGUUACCCUCAGGGUUCCACUGCCCACACACCCUGUCCCCCAGCCCCAUCCUCACAGACGCCCGAUGCCAAGCCCUCACCCUGCACAUUUUACCUAACCUAAACCAGCCGGCUGGGCCCAUAGCAGCCAUCCCUCUGAUGCAUCUGAGACCCAUCUGUUAGCCGGCCAGACAUCUUAGCAGCCCAGAGCCAAGAGAGUGGCAGGAAGGAAGUGAGAGAGGUUUUGAAACCUUCAGAAUAGACGCUGUGAAGCUUAUACAUGAAGGCCACCCGCUGACGCAUCGGUGAGCCCCAGAUCCCCCACUCAGGGCCUGUCUUGUUUUGCUUCGCCUAGAGUGUUAUUUUGUGCUGCAGCUCACAGCAAAUUAAAAACAACAACUUAACAGUGGGAGAGAGACUGCCAGAGGCGUGCAGGGCAUUGCAGGGCCAUGGGGGGCAGAGGGGGACGGCCACUGAUGGGCGCACAGCACAUGGGCGUCCUGAUAACCAGGGAAAGUGGAAAGGAUGACGUAAGAGAGGCCAAAUUAGAGCGAACAACCUAGGAAUCAGGCUCCAUCAAUUUUCAGCCGAGGCCAUUCCUGAACGCCAGCUGAGGAUUCAUAUGCAAAGCAAUGACCCAGAGUCACUGAGGAAAGAUCGCACCGUGCCCAUUAUGGAUUUUCUACUUAGCAUGGAUUAUGAAAUCCAGACAGGAAGAGUUUCAUCCAAAAUGGUUUGACAUUUGAGGCAGGUGCUGGCAGGCCAGGAGGAGGCCCCACUUAUGCAGGAAAUCCUCUCGGAGAACCCCCGAGACGGAGGAUGUGGUGGUGUUGUGGUUCUUACAGUAAGUGCGCACCUGUUCCGCACCUGGCUCUGGGGGCCCCCGGGAGGCCGACCAGCGUGCUGCCAGGCUGGCCGGAAAACAGCCGGGCACACGGGACAGGCGCCUUCAGCACAAGGCACGUCAAGAUUCACCCCCCUCCCUCUGAGCUGCAGAGUUCCGGGAAGGAACGACCGAGUCCAGUUGGGGAGGCGGGGCGGGCUCUCCGGGGAAGCGCGGCAGAAGUAGCAGGCCAAGAGGGUGGAGAGAAACCAAACAAGCUGGCCUGGCAGCCAACCCUGGCAGGGUGGGAGCUGCAGGGACAGUGUUUACAUGAAGAUACAAGUGUUGAAUAACAGCGUCGGACAGUGCAGUUUCUGAGGAGUAUCUGAACCGAGGCUGUGUUUUCAGAGUUACAGCAGCGGCAGGGACUAUGUGGCCGAGUUUCAGUUGGGGGGCGACAGAAGAACUACAUCCCCCUGGACCAGCUGUUUAGAUUCGAGACCCGAGGGGUCGCAGCUGGGGUUGGGGAGGAUGGCUUCAUGACGAGUCAAUAUCAUCCCACCUCCUCACAUCCUCCUCUGGAAGCAGAGCCUGCAGCUACCCAAACAAGGUUCUGGAGAGUUCUCCCAUGAGCAGCUGGCCCUUGCUGGAAGACAAUAAAUGGUCUCUACUGUCUCUCAUAAGAAGCUGGUCAAGGAGGUCAGAGGAGCCUGGGGUUGGCAGGUGGAGGCAGAGGCAGCGGACCUGGGCUCAUGCUCCUGUCGGCCAUCCCAGCUCACCCACCCCACGUCAUGCCCUCUCCUGAUUCUGGGUAAUUGGACACCCCACGGCUGCCUGUUUCCCCCAUUAUAACUCCUAUCAGUUGUGUUAUAACUGCCUGUCUGUUUCUCCCGUUAGGGAUUCGUGGAAGGCAGAGUUUGUUGGGUUCAUUUCUGUCCUAGUACAUGGCACGGGGCCUGGCACACAGUAGAUCACCAUUACAUUUUCAUCAAAUAAAUGAAUGAAUACAAAUGG